CUUUGAAGAGAGAGUUCAAGAGUACGUGAAACCGCUCAGGGGUAAACGGAAAAGAUCUGAAAUUCCGAAAGGGGAGAUUCACGUUUUACCAUUUGCAUAUCUUUUUUAUGUACCAAGAGAUGGUCGGUCGCCUUAUCCAGUGUAAACUGUGGUAGAGGGUCUGGUCGCUCGCAUAUUCAAGUUUUUAGCAGUGGUGGACCGCACUUCUCCCUUAGUAGGACGUUGCGACCUGUCAUAUAACAUUCUAAGUACAGUUAAAGUGUCUGCAUAAAGGUAUUGCUGAAAGGUUUUAUCUUUUGCAGCUUUAACAAAUAGUACCGAUUGUUUAAAUAUUAUGACAGUAACAAAUGAUGGUGUUGAGCCACUUGAUAUUAUUAUAUAUUUUAUAGUAAUGGAUAGUGUCUUUGGCCGUUUACAAGUGGGCAAGGAUGUUGGUUAUAUUCGGACUUUUGUCCGUCUUGCUAACCCUCCCUUUGUUGGUAGACUGUGCCUCUGACCGCGCUUACAACACCAGUCAGCAGCGAUCCAGGUU
rnacentral:rRNA from 1 species